rnacentral:tRNA from 1 species
GGUGUUAUACUUUAAGUUAAAAGAUCUUGUUUGCAUCUAGAAAAUGAAGUAUAAAAUGCUUCUAAUGCCA